UACGUAGGGGGCGAGCGUUGUCCGGAGUUACUGGGCGUAAAGGGCGUGCAGGCGGUCUGGUAAGUUUGGAGUGACAGUGCUCGGCUUAACUGAGCAAGGUUUUCAAAAACUGCUGGACUUGAGGGCUUGAGAGGGACAUAGAAUUCCGGGUGGAGUGGUGAAAUGCGUAGAUAUCCGGAGGAAUACCAAAGGCGAAGGCAGUGUCCUGGCAAGCAUCUGACGCUGAGGCGCGAAAGCUAGGGGAGCGAACAGG
rnacentral:rRNA from 1 species